rnacentral:rRNA from 1 species
AUUGAACGCUGGCGGCAUGCUUUACACAUGCAAGUCGAACGGUAACAGGCCUUCGGGUGCUGACGAGUGGCGAACGGGUGAGUAAUGCAUCGGAACGUGCCCAAUCGUGGGGGAUAACGUAGCGAAAGUUACGCUAAUACCGCAUAAGCCCUGAGGGGGAAAGUGGGGGACCGCAAGGCCUCACGCGAAUGGAGCGGCCGAUGUCAGAUUAGCUAGUUGGUGGGGUAAUGGCCUACCAAGGCGACGAUCGGUAGCUGGUCUGAGAGGAUGAUCAGCCACACUGGGACUGAGACACGGCCCAGACUCCUACGGGAGGCAGCAGUGGGGAAUAUUGGACAAUGGGCGCAAGCCUGAUCCAGCAAUGCCGCGUGUGUGAAGAAGGCCUGCGGGUUGUAAAGCACUUUUGUUCGGGAAGAAAUCAUGUCGGUUAAUACCCGAUGUGGAUGACGGUACCGAAAGAAUAAGCACCGGCUAACUUCGUGCCAGCAGCCGACGG